AGAGUUUGAUCCUGGCUCAGGAUGAACGCUGGCGGUAUGCUUAACACAUGCAAGUCGAACGGACUCUUCGGAGUUAGUGGCGGACGGGUGAGUAACGCGUGAGAAUCUGGCUUCAGGUUCGGGACAACAGUUGGAAACGGCUGCUAAUACCGGAUGUGCCUUAUGGUGAAAGAUUUAUCACCUGAAGAUGAGCUCGCGUCUGAUUAGCUAGUAGGUGUGGUAAGAGCGCACCUAGGCGACGAUCAGUAGCUGGUCUGAGAGGAUGAUCAGCCACACUGGGACUGAGACACGGCCCAGACUCCUACGGGAGGCAGCAGUGGGGAAUUUUCCGCAAUGGGCGAAAGCCUGACGGAGCAAUACCGCGUGAGGGAGGAAGGCUCUUGGGUUGUAAACCUCUUUUCUCAGGGAAGAAUGAUGACGGUACCUGAGGAAUAAGCAUCGGCUAACUCCGUGCCAGCAGCCGCGGUAAUACGGAGGAUGCAAGCGUUAUCCGGAAUGAUUGGGCGUAAAGCGUCCGCAGGUGGCAAUGUAAGUCUGCUGUCAAAGCGUCUGGCUCAACCAGAUAAAGGCAGUGGAAACUACAUAGCUAGAGUAAGGUAGGGGUAGAGGGAAUUCCUGGUGUAGCGGUGAAAUGCGUAGAGAUCAGGAAGAACACCGGUGGCGAAAGCGCUCUGCUGGACCUUAACUGACACUGAGGGACGAAAGCUAGGGGAGCGAAUGGGAUUAGAUACCCCAGUAGUCCUAGCCGUAAACGAUGGAUACUAGGCGUUGCCCGUAUCGACCCGGGCAGUGUCGUAGCUAACGCGUUAAGUAUCCCGCCUGGGGAGUACGCAGGCAACUGUGAAACUCAAAGGAAUUGACGGGGGCCCGCACAAGCGGUGGAGUAUGUGGUUUAAUUCGAUGCAACGCGAAGAACCUUACCAGGGCUUGACAUGUCCGGAAUCCUCUUGAAAGGGAGGAGUGCCUUCGGGAGCCGGAACACAGGUGGUGCAUGGCUGUCGUCAGCUCGUGUCGUGAGAUGUUGGGUUAAGUCCCGCAACGAGCGCAACCCUCGUUCUUAGUUGCCAUCAUUAAGUUGGGAACUCUAAGGAGACUGCCGGUGACAAACCGGAGGAAGGUGGGGAUGACGUCAAGUCAGCAUGCCCCUUACGCCCUGGGCUACACACGUACUACAAUGCUAUGGACAAAGGGCAGCAAGCCAGCGAUGGCAAGCAAAUCUCGUAAACCAUGGCUCAGUUCAGAUCGCAGGCUGCAACUCGCCUGCGUGAAGUCGGAAUCGCUAGUAAUUGCAGGUCAGCAUACUGCAGUGAAUUCGUUCCCGGGCCUUGUACACACCGCCCGUCACACCAUGGAAGCUGGUCACGCCCGAAGUCGUUACCCUAACCUUUCGAGGAGGGGGACGCCGAAGGUAGGACUGGUGACUGGGGUGAAGUCGUAACAAGGUAGCCGUACCGGAAGGUGUGGCUGGAUCA
rnacentral:rRNA from 1 species